UAAAUCCUGAUAUGUACGAAUCGCUUAUAAUAUUCAACCGACAUAAGUGAUAAGGGACCAACAAAACUCUUAAUAAUGUUAGACUUCCACAUCAUAUUUGAUGUAUUGGGCUAAUAGCAUAUGCUCUUAGUUUCAAUCAGAAGAAAACAGAGUUAAGAUGCGAAGGACCCACCUGCAUAUAGGCGGGUAUGAAUAAAUAAGCAUAUCGGCAUGUUGGGAGAGAA
rnacentral:other from 1 species